CAAAAGACCGGUGAAGGAGAAGGAGAGGAGUUGGGUUUUGCUUUGUCUAUAUAGUCGAUCGCCUUCUACCAAAGUAGAAGAGAAGAAAUGCAAAGGGUCUUCUCACCAAAAAUAAACGAGCCUUGCCUGUGGAGUGAAACAUCUCAUCCAGCGCCUGUGGGCUUGUAACAGUUCAAAUUCAUGCUGCUGUUCUCGGAAGCCAACGUGGUCAUGUUCUGGGGAAACUAGAACAUAUGAUAAAGUUGUUAUUAUUUUUCUUUUUUGGUGAAUUUAAGACAAACAAUAAAAAUUGUGCUGUUCUAGGAGAUAGAGAUGUGGCUUUAUCUUUGUAACUUCAGAUUUUGUUUGGGUGUGUUUAGGGGUUCUUCUGUUAGUAUUUAGAGAUUUAUCUAUAUCUGUUUGGAUUGGUCUGCUGACCAAUGAUGGGCUCUAAUCCAGAUCAGUUCCAGGUUGAUUGAGAAAAACAAA